GACGAACGCUGGCGGCGUGCUUAACACAUGCAAGUCGAGCGGUAAGGCCCUUUCGGGGGUACGACGAGCGGCGAACGGGCGAGUAACACGUGGGUGACCUGCCCUCAGCUCUGGGAUAAGCCUGGGAAACUGGGUCUAAUACUGGAUAUGACUCCACGGUGCAUGUCGUGGGGUGGAAAGCCUUGUGCGGCUGAGGAUGGGCCCGCGGCCUAUCAGCUUGUUGGUGGGGUGAGGCCUACCAAGGCGACGACGGGUAGCCGGCCUGAGAGGGCGACCGGCCACACUGGGACUGAGACACGGCCCAGACUCCUACGGGAGGCAGCAGUGGGGAAUAUUGCGCAAUGGGCGAAAGCCUGACGCAGCAACGCCGCGUGAGUGAUGAAGGCC
rnacentral:rRNA from 1 species